rnacentral:lncRNA from 1 species
UCGGAGAACAUGGAUUCCUGGCUGCACCAGAUAUCUAAACCAGUACCUGAGGAUUCCUUUCUCUGCCCCCAAGUUUUUAAAACAUGGAGAACAAGAAAGAAAGAACCCGAGGAACAACUCAGAGGAGCCCUUGUCAUCACAUUAAACUAUUACCCAAAGUCUCAGAAAUUGUAUUGAAUAACCCAGUUUUGUGAAGCCAAAUAAACCAAAGUGUUAGAAUAUAGACCA